rnacentral:misc_RNA from 1 species
AUUCAAAUCUGUCAAAUGUGAUUUUUAUAUAAUCUUCUGCUGGUAAUGAGCAAUGGUUCACUGAUCUUUUGUCCAACAUUGACAUUUUAUUCUUUGUUUUAGUAUGGUAUAAUGGUGAUAUUAAAGACUUAUUUGAAUUUUUAAUGAUCGACUUCUUAAAGCCUGAUUUAAUCAUUGAUUUUUGAACCCUGCUUCCUAUGCCAGUUUUCAGGU